CUGCUUCCAGGCACAAUCCAAAACAGACCAAAAAAUAAGGGAUGAGAAGAUCUCACAAUGAAUACUUACUUGUCAAACAGCUGAACAUCUUUUUCAUACCUGUGUUGAGAGCGUACAUGGAAAAAUUAUCAACUUGAUCUACUCUGCAUUUUCAAGUUUAUCUUAAUAACAAAGCAAAAGUGACAUACAGCACUGCAGCCUCUGGGUUUAAGGGGCUUGUCGUGUCGAUCUUGUAGAAGACUCUCCUUGCAUACAUCAGCACCUGCCAGAUACGAUUGUAGUUCCGCCUACAAGGAAGCAGCAUGGCUUGAGUCCUGAGGCCUCCCGCCAUCUUACGUCACAGCAGCAGCACACUGUCUUACUGACCUCCACUUUGCAAACGCUCUCUUCACAUCCAGUUCACCUGAGGUGGGGUCCACUAGCGGGUGGAAGACGGGAAUAUCAAACACGAGGUGCUGCAGGGAGAAGACACAUCCUUUCACAGGAAGCUCUGAGCCCAUGAGCGCCACAGACGGUCACGAGGGCAGCCCGGGGCCAGGCGAGGCACUCAUGGCACAGAGCUGCCAGGGUGCACUGCCAGCUCCUUGCACCUUUCUCCUAUAGCAUUCAGUUCUGCCAAGGGAACAGGUCAGUCCCUCCCCGGUGCACAAGGAUCACCAGGCCUGCUUCUAGCCUUCCCCAUGCACCCUGAGCCCAGAACUCGGCACAGCCAAAGGCAGGACAGGCAACAUCACACACAAAUCCCCAGCGGAGACAGUGGGGAGGGCAAGCAUUUUAGAGCACCAAUCAGUGAUCGCUGGGUCAGGAGGAUGGAGAAGCCCGCCCGCUCCGGUCCCACAGGUGGGGUCAGGCCGUGGCCCUACGUACUGGACAGUCCCCAUCGGGGUAGUUGUCAGGGAUGUAAACUGUAAACUUGAACACGCCGUCCUGGUAGAGUCCAUGCCGUAUGAAGAUCACUCCAAACCACACUGCAGGAGCAGAUGGAAACGGGGUCAGGGUUUAGCUCAGAGCAGCCCAGUGUGCUACAAACAGAAUGAAUCCUGGUCUUACUUAAUGCGGAGUGGUAAGACGGCUGCACGUACACACCCGGGAGCUUCUGCUUCACGACCAAGGUGCUACGAGGAAAGCGGCACACAGUGAGCUGGCACGGACGCGGUGAGCCCCGUGUGCGUUUGCUGAGCCUCGGGGGCAGCCGGUGCUCGGGCCGCCCCCCCCCCCCGAGUCCUCCUCCUCUGACCUCACAAUGUCUGCACCAAGAGAAGGCUACCCGGCCCCGUGAAGACAUUAAAGCCCGGCGCGGACCCCCAGAGCGUCAGGCUUCCCUCCCAGACCCUGGCCUGCAGGCUCCUGAGCAGUGCAACUCCAUGUGCACAUGCUGGACAUUAAAUAUGAAAUAAAUGCGCAUGUAAAA